AUGCAUGCCGCUUCAGUGACUUGUACGUACCUCCUCGGCCUACUCGCCGGUGUCGAGUGGCCAAAGCCCUCACUGCUAGCUCAAAUAGCCAUGGUGCCCAUAUUAUCAAGAAUGAUGAGCUCCAAGAACUCUCAUGCGAUAAUAACAUCCAAAUGUCAUUUCUUUGAGCCCAUGACGGUGAGACCGACACGACCUCAGCUCGGCCAUGGCCGCCUCUCUGAACUGAAUGUUAUACCUCUACUACUUGAGGAGGGUAAUAGCUGUGAGAUCUUGAGUAAGGAAUUUUGUUGUGAAGCUAAGGCUGAUGUUAAGACAAAGUCCACUCUGUCUAGAUUGGAUACAAUUGGAGACAUGCAUCACGUAAUAUUCAGGGGUGGUCAAAACCAUGUGAAGUAUUACAGUGGAUGUUUGUUAGGAUCCAUAGUCGAAGGUGACUCGUACAUACCCCCUCGGCCUACUCACCGGCGUCGAGCGGCCAAAGCCCUCACUGCUAGCUCAAAUAGCCAUGGUGCCCAUGAUUAUCACUCUCGGAUGAGCUUGGACACCUUGAGAUUAUCAAGAAUGGUGAGCUCCAAGAACUCAUGUGUAGCAAUAAUAACAUACAAAUGUCAUUGCCAUCCAGCAUGUCAAUGCUCUCUUGAGUGGGCUUCAUUAGAUGGAGCAAUGGCUUCGUUGAGAACCAGGGAGUGUCAAGAUAGUACAAGAACAACCAAGCCUUCUUACAGAGUGUUAGAUUGCUUGAUGCUGCUACUUCACGCCAGAUGUGUGCAUAACUACUUCCAUGAUGAGCCGAUAUUUGUCGAGCAGGUCAUGCCACGUCUUCCCACCGAGAUCCAGUGGAGACAGCUGGGCCUGUAG
rnacentral:rRNA from 1 species